CUCAAACGUAUCGACUUUUCCAAACACUUUUGCUAAUGUUUUGGUCUCAUUCUUGCAUGAUUUCAAUGAAACUAACCCGGACUAACGCUAUUUUCAGCAAAGCUGUUUGUAUGGUUUUCUUGUGCGCAGGAAAAUGGAUAUUUAGACGUCCUGGAAAAUUCCCAUAAAAAUAGAGAAAAUCCACGCACCGGGAGGAACCAUGGGCCAGAAGAUGGGUCAGAG
rnacentral:lncRNA from 1 species